rnacentral:rRNA from 1 species
GACGAACCGUGCGAACGUUGUUCGGAAUCACUGGGCUUAAAGGGCGCGUAGGCGGGCCGGCCGGUCCGGGGUGAAAUCCCCCCGCUCAACGGGGGAACGGCUCCGGAUACCGCCGGCCUCGAGGGGGGUAGGGGCGAGCGGAACGCUGGGUGGAGCGGUGAAAUGCGUUGAUAUCCAGCGGAACUCCGGUGGCGAAGGCGGCUCGCUGGGCCCUCUCUGACGCUGAGGCGCGAAAGCCAGGGGAGCGAACGGG